UCUGUCAGAGAUCAGCUGUUCUUCUCUGGUCUCAGCUCUGAAGUCCAACCCCUCCCAUCUGGAACAUCUGAACCUGAGCUGGAACAACCUGCAGGCUGGAUAUGUGAAGCAGCUGUCUGACCUGGUGGAGAGUCCAGACUACCAGCUGCAGACUUUCAGAUGUAGAAGAUGAGAGUGAACAGGACGGUGUUUGUGCUGAGAGGAUGAGACGUGUCCUGAUGGUCCUCAGAGGUUCAAGCAGAACCAGUUUGUGUGGACAAACUCUGACUGGACCGUGAUGAUGAUGAUGAAGAUGAAGAUGAAGAUGUACCUAGUUUCUGAAUUCCAGCGUUCUACAAACUUCUCAUAUAUUCAUUUAGUUCAUGUUAAGUCAAAAAGUCUUUAUUGUUAUUAUAUUAUUGGUAAAAAACAGUACAUCAAAAUGUAGCCUUUAAUUUGAACUUGAGGCUCGUUCAACAUUGUUCCUCAAGCACUUUGUCUAAAGUCUGGAUGAGUUCUAGUACGGAGGAGCCUACUACUAAUGUACUGAUGGAUAAAUGUCUUUCGCUGCCGUGGCGGAGCUGCUCAGCAGAGCAGCCAUCUCCUCCACCGAGUCACGUGACUCCCCCAGUGUUUUCUUUUUAUUUACAUGUUUCCGUUUCAUUCCAAGUUUUCCUUUGUUGUUGUUGUGUUUUCAGCUUCGUCAGGUUCUUAAAGUUUCUCUCCGCGUCACUGAUGAAGAGAGAGAGUGAAGAGAUCCGUGGAAAUAGCAGCGUUUGUUCAUGAAACACAAAACACAAAUGAACUUGACUUGGUCAAUGAAUGUUCCUCAGUGUUUGUUCCAGUAAAUAUUGUAAAUGUUUUCUGGAUAUUAAGAUGAUUGUUAACACUUCAAAGAAAGUCAAAAUUCUUCAGUAAAUCUUGUAUAUUUUCUCUUG